rnacentral:rRNA from 1 species
AUGAGCAGGAACAAUGGUAAGGGGCCGAAGCUGGACCUGAGGCUGAGCUUUUCGCGGUCACGCGGCGGCGGCCGUGGCGGCGGCGGAGGGGGUCCAUCGGCUGCGCCGCCGGGAGGCAGCAACUCGCCGAGGAGGAUGUCUUCGUCGUCUUCUUCCUCCGCAUCCCCGCCGAGCUCGUGCGUGUCGUCGGAGGGGAGCCCGGAGGCUGGUGGGGGCAGUGGUGGCUCGGCGAUGAUCCUCGCGGGCUGCCCCCGGUGCAUGAUGUACGUGAUGCUGUCGCGGGAGGACCCCAAGUGCCCCAAGUGCCACAGCACUGUGCUCCUCGACUUCAACGACGUCGGCGCCGACCACCGCAACCCAGGGUUCGGCUCCGGCAAGGUCGGCAAGGGCAAGCGCGGCUGA